rnacentral:rRNA from 1 species
AUUGAACGCUGGCGGCAGGCCUAACACAUGCAAGUCGAGCGAGGGGCGGGCGGGUGAGUAAUGCCUGGGAAUUGCCCAGUCGGGGGGGAUACAAGGUGGAAACGACUGAUAAUCGCGCAUCCGGUGGGAUUGCCCAUGUGGGAUUAGCUAGUUGGUGGGGUAAUGGCUCACCAAGGCGACGAGCCAUAGCUGGUCUGAGAGGAUGAUCAGCCACACUGGAACUGAGACACGGUCCAGACUCCGACGGUAGGCAGCAGUGGGGAAUAUUGCACAAUGGGGGAAAGCCUGAUUCAGCCAUGCCGCGUGGGUGAAGAAGGCCUGCGGGUUGUAAAGCACUUUCAGCGAGGAGGCGUUACUCGCAGAAGAAGCACCGGCUAACUCCGUGCCAGCAGCCGCGGUAAUUC